CAGGUGGAGCCUGCGGUUUAAUCGGACUCAACGCCGGGAAGCUCACCGGAUAAGACAGCGGAAUGAUAGCCGGGCUGAAGACUCUGCUUGACUAGCUGAGAGGAGGUGCAUGGCCGUCGUCAGUUCGUACUGUGAAGCAUCCUGUUAAGUCAGGCAACGAGCGAGACCCACGCCAACAGUUGCCAGCAUGUCCUCCGGGAUGGUGGGGACACUGUUGGGACCGCCUCUGCUAAAGAGGAGGAAGGAAUGGGCAACGGUAGGUCAGCAUGCCCCGAAUUAUCCGGGCUACACGCGGGCUACAAUGGUCAGGACAAUGGGCAUCAACACCGAAAGGUGAAGGCAAUCUCUUAAACCUGUCCUUAGUUCGGAUUGUGGGCUGCAACUCGCCCACAUGAAGCUGGAAUCUGUAGUAAUCGCGUCUCGAAAUGGCGCGGUGAAUAUGUCCCUGCUCCUU
rnacentral:rRNA from 1 species